ACGAACGCUGGCGGCGUGCCUAACACAUGCAAGUCGAGCGGUCUAACACUCAACACUGAGCACUUAGAAAAGUUGGAAGCAGUAGUUGAGACAGCGUCAAGGGAGCGAUAGCGACCUUCACGCAAAAUAGCCAACACAAGAAUAAGUGUUGAGUGUUGAGUGUUAGAUAGCGGCGGACGGGUGAGUAACACGUGGGCAACCUGCCCUAUAGAGGGGGAUAGCCAACCGAAAGGUUGAUUAAUACCGCAUAAGACCACGCUGUCGCAUGGCAGAGGGGUAAAAGGAGAAAUCCGCUAUAGGAUGGGCCCGCGGCCCAUUAGCUAGUUGGAGAGGUAACGGCUCACCAAGGCGACGAUGGGUAGCCGAUCUGAGAGGAUGACCGGCCACAUUGGAACUGAGACACGGUCCAGACUCCUACGGGAGGCAGCAGUGGGGAAUAUUGCGCAAUGGGGGAAACCCUGACGCAGCAACGCCGCGUGGAGGAAGAAGGCCUUCGGGUCGUAAACUCCUGUCAUUAGGGAAGAAAAAGGACGGUACCUAAUGAGGAAGCCACGGCUAACUACGUGCCAGCAGCCGCGGUAAUACGUAGGUGGCGAGCGUUGUCCGGAAUUACUGGGCGUAAAGGGUGCGUAGGCGGGAUAUUAAGUCAGAUGUGAAAACCCCGGGCUCAACCUGGGGAUUGCAUUUGAAACUGAUAUUCUAGAGUGCAGGAGAGGGAAGCGGAAUUCCUAGUGUAGCGGUGAAAUGCGUAGAUAUUAGGAAGAACACCAGUGGCGAAGGCGGCUUUCUGGACUGUAACUGACGCUGAUGCACGAAAGCGUGGGGAGCAAACAGGAUUAGAUACCCUGGUAGUCCACGCCGUAAACGAUGAGUGCUAGGUGUAGGRGGCWUAAGCCUUCUGUGCCGCAGCAAACGCAAUAAGCACUCCGCCUGGGGAGUACGGUCGCAAGACUAAAACUCAAAGGAAUUGACGGGGGCCCGCACAAGCAGCGGAGCAUGUGGUUUAAUUCGAAGCAACGCGAAGAACCUUACCAGGGCUUGACAUCUAACAAAUCUCUCAGAGAUGAGAGAGUG
rnacentral:rRNA from 1 species